UAACUGGAGAGUUUGAUCCUGGCUCAGAAUGAACGCUGGCGGCGUGCUUUACACAUGCAAGUCGAGCGAGGCGGGUAGCAAUACCCAGUCGAGCGGCGAACGGGUGAGUAACGCGUGGAUUAUCUGCCCUGAGGUGGGGGAUAACCCG
rnacentral:rRNA from 1 species